rnacentral:rRNA from 1 species
GAGUUUGAUCCUGGCUCAGGACGAACGCUGGCGGCGCGCCUAACACAUGCAAGUCGAACGAGCAAAGAGGAGCUUGCUUCUCUGAGCGAGUGGCGAACGGGUGAGUAACGCGUGAGGAACCUGCCUCAAAGAGGGGGACAACAGUUGGAAACGACUGCUAAUACCGCAUAAGCCCACGGGUCGGCAUCGACCAGAGGGAAAAGGAGCAAUCCGCUUUGAGAUGGCCUCGCGUCCGAUUAGCUAGUUGGUGAGGUAAUGGCCCACCAAGGCGACGAUCGGUAGCCGGACUGAGAGGUUGAACGGCCACAUUGGGACUGAGACACGGCCCAGACUCCUACGGGAGGCAGCAGUGGGGAAUAUUGCACAAUGGGGGAAACCCUGAUGCAGCGACGCCGCGUGGAGGAAGAAGGUCUUCGGAUUGUAAACUCCUGUUGAUGAGGAAGAUAAUGACGGUACUCAACAAGGAAGUGACGGCUAACUACGUGCCAGCAGCCGCGGUAAAACGUAGGUCACAAGCGUUGUCCGGAAUUACUGGGUGUAAAGGGAGCGCAGGCGGGAAGACAAGUUGGAAGUGAAAUCCAUGGGCUCAACCCAUGAACUGCUUUCAAAACUGUCUUUCUUGAGUAGUGCAGAGGUAGGCGGAAUUCCCGGUGUAGCGGUGGAAUGCGUAGAUAUCGGGAGGAACACCAGUGGCGAAGGCGCCCUACUGGGCACCAACUGACGCUGAGGCUCGAAAGUGUGGGUAGCAAACAGGAUUAGAUACCCUGGUAGUCCACACCGUAAACGAUGAUUACUAGGUGUUGGAGGAUUGACCCCUUCAGUGCCGCAGUUAACACAAUAAGUAAUCCACCUGGGGAGUACGACCGCAAGGUUGAAACUCAAAGGAAUUGACGGGGGCCCGCACAAGCAGUGGAGUAUGUGGUUUAAUUCGACGCAACGCGAAGAACCUUACCAAGUCUUGACAUCCUGCGACGGACAUAGAAAUAUGUCUUUCCUUCGGGACGCAGAGACAGGUGGAGCAUGGUUGUCGUCAGCUCGUGUCGUGAGAUGUUGGGUUAAGUCCCGCAACGAGCGCAACCCUUAUGGUCAGUUACUACGCAAGAGGACUCUGGCCAGACUGCCGUUGACAAAACGGAGGAAGGUGGGGAUGACGUCAAAUCAUCAUGCCCUUUAUGACUUGGGCUACACACGUACUACAAUGGCGUUAAACAAAGAGAAGCAAGACCGCGAGGUGGAGCAAAACUCAGAAACAACGUCCCAGUUCGGACUGCAGGCUGCAACUCGCCUGCACGAAGUCGGAAUUGCUAGUAAUCGUGGAUCAGCAUGCCACGGUGAAUACGUUCCCGGGCCUUGUACACACCGCCCGUC